UUUCCGUAGGUGAACCUGCGGCAGGAUCAUUACUAACCGUUUUGUGGUAGUGGGGGAGGGGUGGUUUGUUGGCUGUGGUGGGGUUGGGUCGCACGAUGCCCCUCGGCACUCCAACACUUCCACCUAACCCCUACUCAUCCACUCGCAUUUGCGCAUGAUGUGUUUGACGGCGUAAGCUAUCUACAAAUGAGACAACUUUUAACAAUGGAUCUCUUGGCUCUU
rnacentral:misc_RNA from 1 species